rnacentral:rRNA from 1 species
CCUACGGGCGGCAGCAGUGGGGAAUAUUGGACAAUGGGGGCAACCCUGAUCCAGCCAUGCCGCGUGUGUUAAGAAGGCCCUCGGGUUGUAAAGCACUUUCAGUGAGGAAGAACGCCUGGUGGUUAAUACCCAUCAGGAAAGACAUCACUCACAGAAGAAGCACCGGCUAACUCCGUGCCAGCAGCCGCGGUAAUACGGAGGGUGCGAGCGUUAAUCGGAAUUACUGGGCGUAAAGCGCGCGUAGGUGGCUUGAUAAGCCGGUUGUGAAAGCCCCGGGCUCAACCUGGGAACGGCAUCCGGAACUGUCAAGCUAGAGUGCAGGAGAGGAAGGUAGAAUUCCCGGUGUAGCGGUGAAAUGCGUAGAGAUCGGGAGGAAUACCAGUGGCGAAGGCGGCCUUCUGGACUGACACUGACACUGAGGUGCGAAAGCGUGGGUAGCAAACAGGAUUAGAUAUCCCGGUAGUC